rnacentral:miRNA from 9 species
GAAUGUAAAGAAGUAUGGAG